CGCAGUGGAAACAAAUCCGACUAGUAUCCAUGAGGAUGCAGGUUCGAUCCCUGGCCUGGCUCAGUGGGUUCAUUGCCAUGAACUGUGGUGUAUUUCACAGUCAAGCCUUGGAUCCCACAUUGGUAUGGCUGUGCCAUAGGCCAGCAGCUACAGCUCUGAUGUGACCCUUUGAGAACUUCCAUAUGCCGCAAGUGCAGCCCUAAAAAAAAAAAAAAAGGAGCUUUAAUACAUGACUCUCUCCAGGUUUAAGCUUCAGGUUUUUUCAUGCUUCAUUUUAACACUCACUGUACAGUAUUUGUUCCACAAGACUCUGGUCUCUUAAGAUGUUAACUAUGUUAACUGGGACAUGUCUUUCUGUCUGUCUCUCUGUGUCUGUCUUUCUUUCUUACACACACACACACACACACACACACACACACACACAUGCUCACACAAGUUUUAUGAUCCUAUCUCAGGUCCAAACUAUUAUUCUAACUACUUCAUAGAUUUUUAUUAUUGCAACUAAAAUAUUUAUGGAGCCCCUUCUAUGUACCUCAUAAUGUGUUAGAUACCACAGAAAUAUAGGGAUAUCAUAUAACCUAGGUGAGAAGAAAAGUGUAAAUUUUAAACUUAUACUAUUCAUAUGGUUUACGAACAUACAAUCUAUACUAAUGUAUUUUGCUGCUUUUAAUUAACUUUCUUACGUGUUACCUACUUCACCUCUCAAAAACUGGUUGGGAAGGUUAUCAAUAUUCCCAUUUUAAGAUCAGAAACCUAAUUUAGGGGGUUAAUAACCAGCCCAUGGUCACCUGGUCCAUAUGUGACAGGUUCAGGAAGAGAAGCCACAUCUUCUGAAACUGACAAGACUCCAUAGAGUCCAGUGUUUACAGUCCUGUGGAGGGACUCUGAAUCACAGGCCUUAGAGCCAUGCUGUCCUCUUGAGAGAUAGAGGAAAGCAGAGUGAAGAGUCUGAAAGUGAAUGGGGCAUGAAGCCAAAAUAGGAGAAUGGCCAAGUGGGUUUGAAGCUCUAAGCCUGGACAAUGCUGAGCAGACAUGGGAAAGGGACCAGCUGGAAAACAAGGCAGAAUGGAUGGCUACUCUUGCCAAGUUGGUACGUGACUAAAGCAGGGUGAAUCAGUAAUUGAAAGAUGAGACUUUCUUCCAAGAAAGAUUUCACACUCUGUCCUACCAAUGAUAAAACCCAAAAGGGGCCAAGUAUCAAUUAGUUGGCCAAGUACAUGUAGAUCUAUUUGAACCCAGGGCCAGCCAGGCUUAAGAAAGAGGAAACAAUCUCCCUAAAUUGAUUCAACACAAAACCUUUCAAAAUGCCAGCAGGAAAUAUUUUUUGGCUGUGCCCACUGAAGUUUCAUGCCCAGGGACUGAGCCCACACCACAGGAGCAACCCAAUCCACAGCAGUGGCAAUACCAGAUCGUUAACCCACUGAGCCACUAGGGAACUCCUGUUCCUAGAAGGUCACUAUGGAACAGGGAACACUAGGGAACAGCAAUUGAGGAGCCAAUCCUAAUAUUUAUAGAAAUGUGAACAACCCAGAUUAUGCAUAACAAUUUUGAAAAAAACGAAAAGAAUAAAGUUGAAGGACUUUCAAUUCUCAAUUUUAAAACUCACUAUAAAGUUGCAGUAAUCAAAACAGUAUGGUACUGGCAUAAAGGUAUAGAGAGAAUAAAAUUGAGAGCCCAGAUAUAAGACCUAAUAGUCAAUUGAUUUUUGGUAAAGGUGCCAAAGUAAACACUGGUGGAGUGGAUACUCUUUUCAAACAAAUGGUGCUGGGACAAUUAGAUAUCUACAUACAAAGAGAUUAAUUUAGACCCUUAUCUCAUACCAUAUACAAAGUUAACCCCAAAAAGUGAUGAGACCUAAGUAUAGGCAAUAAAUCUAUAAGCUCUUUAGAAAAAAGGAAAAAAUCUUUAUGACAUUGGGUUAGGAAAAAUAUUCUUGAUAUACUACUAAAAGCAUGAGCCUCAAGGAGUUCCCACUGUGGUGCAACAGGCUCCAUGGUGUCUCUGCAGUGCCAGGAUGCAAGUUCAAUCCCUGACCAAGCACAGAGCGUUAAAGGAGUGAUGCUAUCACAGCUAUAAUGUAGCUUGAAGGAUCCCUGGCCUGGGAACUCCAUCUGCCAUGGGGAGACCAAAAGAAAAAAAAAAGGCAAGUAAAAACAUGAGUCUCAAAAGGAAAUAAAAUGAUAAACUGGACUUAAUCUCAUACUUCUGAAUUCUCUUUGAGUGGUUUAGUAAGAUCCAACAGAUGAGUGUUGUACAGUAAAUGAAUUGAAACCUCUUUGUGUCAGUAAGCUUUCUGCUCAUUCUCCCCUCUGCUCUGGAGCAAAAAAACCCAUCAAUUCCCAAUAAUUACACUUAGUAAUUAUAAUUACUGGUAUUAAUUCCUGUUGUUUCCUAUGGCUCCAAUAAUAGAUUAUCACAAAAUAGUGGCUUAAAAUGACAAAUGUUAUUAUCUUACAGUUCUAGAAGUCAGAAGUCCAAAAUCAGUCUUACUGGGUUAAUAUCAAGGUAUUGAUAGGCUCUAUAAGAGGUGCUAAAGGAGAACCUGUUUUCUUGCCUUUCCAAGACUCUACAGACCACCUGCAUUCCCUGGUUCAUGGUCCUUUCCUCCAUCUCCAAAGCCAGCAGCAUAGCAUCUUCAGAUUCUCUCUCUUACACCUACUUCCAUCAUCACAGCUCUCCCUUACUUUCCUACCUGGUUUUAAUCAGGACCCUUCUGAUUGCAUUAGGUCCACCUAAGAAUCCAGAAUAAUCACCCCCCUUUCAAGACACCUAAUCACAUCUACAAAGUCCCUUUUCUCAUGUAAUAUAGCAUUUUACAGGUUUCAGGGUUAGGAAUGGACAAUUUUGGGGAGGGGGUUUAUUAUUUAUCCUACUAUAGCCAUUAAAAAAAUCAUCUAAAAUGUUAAUUCUGCUUUCUCCAGUGUAUCAAUUCGUGAGAGGGUAUGAUGAAACUAAAUAUGAUGACAUUUUGACAUGCAAUUGAAUCCUAAUAAGGUCUUCCAUUUAGUAGGGUGUAUGUGUGUGUGUGUUUGUGUGUGCCUAAAGGAACCUGUCAGAAUUCAAAGGUGAUCUAUAUUUUUACUUUGAUACUGAGAGACUAAAAAUAUCACCAAUUGCAAAAUACAGUCAUAGGGAUUGGAGUGUGAACAAACCAUCACAUUCCCAGUCCUCAGUGUUUUGAGGAAAGGGGUAUUUUUUAGGGUAAUUGUAGGACACCAGCUGGUAGAAAGUUUCAAAUGACGUCUUUAAUUUUUUUGGUUUUCUUAAACAUCUGGUCUCUUCUGGUAGAUUUGUAUGUUGAAGAAUUUAAAUUUUCUUUGGAGUUCUAAAGCAAUUACUCUUGUCAUACUUUUGCAGUUUCUACUUGACUCCCCAGCUAAAAUUUGAGAUGAUUUCAAAUUCCAGAGCUAGAUUUUGUGACUCUCUAAUGUGGUAGUAUAAGAAAGUAUUGAUUCCAUUUCCCCCAUGGUAACAAUUUCACAGUAUUUUAUUGAAGCAGAACAGGAUUUACCCCACAAGAGUGACAUAUAUCAUGGUUUGAGAAAUUUGCUGUUUUAACACCUGUAUCCUGGUGUUCCAUUUUAUAAUUAUAGGUAGUUAUUUUUCUCCAAGGAAAAACAUAUAUUCAUCAAUUUGUUUUUACUUAUAGUCUGCUUUGUUCUAAAAAUACUUUAAGAUCUUAGUUUUCAUUUGAAAAUAUUUGUCUGGAUCAGCUUAAUAUGAUGUAAAAAUCUCAAUGGCACUUUUAAAAUUUCUCCUUGAAACCCUCCAAUUCAGAAAUGAGAAAAGCUUCCAGAACUCUUCAGAGCCACAUUCUGGACUCCACUGUUUACAGACCGUGUCAGAUGGUAGACCGGAUCUGGCAUACUAACAAUAGUUAAUAUCAUGGAGUGCUCUCCUGGAUAUAUGCCUAGGACAGUGUGGACUUCCGCCACUGCCCCUGAAAUCUGGUCUGUGUCCAGCUGGGUCCUAACACACUUAAAGCCAAGAGAGUUGGGUGAGGGGGUUGACCAGGUGAGAAGAACCUAUUCAGCCAAGUGCUAGGAGGUUGAUACCCAUGCUGUGGUGGGAGGACCCCACGUGGCUCAGGGGUCCACUUCCAUCUCCCAUCGAAGUGCUCUGCAGGUAUUUUCUUGGUUAACCUUGUAACAUCCAUAGGAAGCAGGCUCAUAGUUAUCCUCACUUUAUAAAUGAGGACUCUGAGGUUGAUCUGAAAAUAAUCUCUCCAUCUUCCCAAUUCCCUUGGUACUUUUUUCAGUCCCCAGUUUAAGGUAUUCUUUAAAAGCAUGAGUUUCAAGGUCCAUCACUGUUCAAAUCCUAGGGUGGGCACUUACUAGCUGAGUGCCCUUGAGUAAGUUACUUAAUUUCCCUGUGCCUCAGUUUCCCUGCCUGUAAAAUAAAAGGAGUACAAUGAAGCUAUCAACAAAGUAUAAACAGACUCAAGGACAUAGAGAACAAACCUGUGGUUGCCAACAGGGAGGGGUGAAAGAGUGGGAUGGACAAGUAGUUUGGGGUUGGUAGAUGCAAACUAUUACAUUUAGAAUGAAUAAGUAAUGAGGCCCUACUGUAUAGCACAAAGAACUAUAUCCAAUCUCUUGGGAUAGAACAUGAUGGAAGCCAGUAUGAGAAAAAGCAUGUGUGUGUGUGUGUGUGUCUGUGUGUGUAUACACAUAUGAUUGGGUCACUACAGAAAUUGACACAGCACUGUGAAUCAACUAUACCCUAAUAAAAAAUAAAUAAAUAAAUAAGUAAAAUAAGUAGCAGUGCUUUUCUCAAAGGGUAAUCACCAGAUUGCCUGAGAUAGGGCCUAGAAAUUAUUUAGAACAAUGCCUGGCACAUAACAGAUAUUAACUAAAUCUCAUUCUUAAUUUUAUGAUGGCUUUCAUCUCAUUCUUUGUAUUUGAGUAUUUUAUAAGUUAUUGUUCUCCCUCCUCUUAGAAAGUAAGCUCUUUGAAAAGAUGCUGCAUUAUUCAUCAUGAACCCCUUGGAGUAUCUAACACAAAACAGACCCUCAAUAGGUAUUCAAUUUGUGAUUUACUUCUUUCUUCCCAUUAUAAAGCACAGUUGUCUUCCUAUUAAAUUUAUCAUCAUCAGAAGAGGGCCAAACUUGUCUUCAUACAGCAGGGAAACCAAAUUAAAUGUUGUGGUAUCUGUUAGACUAAAUAGGGACACCGCUGUGUAUUGAUGGCUGGUGUGAACAUAUUCCAUGGGAAGAAGGGACAGUUUAUCUGGUGACAUGGAUGGCAUGCUUUUUUUGGCUCAUGCCAUUGCUGCAAACACUUUCCUUGCAUAAUGAACUCUCACUAAUUAUAUCCCAAAAGGCAUUUUUUUUCCUUAGCUGCAAUUCAUUUAUAUGGAACUCCUUUUAAGUAAUCUGUCCAAAGAAAUAGAAAAUAAGAUUUUGGGGAAAACUGCAAGGUAAUUAGAGCCAUGUUAAAAUAUCUUGGUGUUAGAGGCAGAGAACUUGGAAAAUAUUCAGAUAUACAGAUUGCCACAUCUGAAAUGGUACAUAUCCAAAGAGCUCAUGCAAAUUAGCUAGUCUAUCAAGUUACCACCAGUUGUUUCCUGAGUUCAAUGGACAAUUAGAAAAGUGUUUUUUGAGUCUUUGGAAGGAAUUAAAUCCAAAGCUGAUCUGUACCCACCCCCCCACCAAAAAAAUGUUGAUUCAAGUAAUUGGUUCAAGAAGUCUUAGUUUGAGGACUUUUACAAUAUCUCAUUUUCUUUGUACACUGGAGUGAGAUCAAAAUGAGGUAAUUCAUUUAGGAGUGCUUUGAAAAAUGUUACUGCAGACUUCAUAUGUAAAGUGCUAUUAUUGCAACUAGAAGAAAUUAGCCCUUAAACACUAACAAUGACAAAUAAAAAAAUGGUGUUCGGACCUGUUAUUUAAAUUCAGCAGGAAUAACUGGAUAGUUUUUUUGUUAGGGUUUUCUUUUUUUCUUUUCUUUUUUUUUUUCUUUUUAGAGCUGCCCUGAGGCAUAUGGAGAUUCCCAGACUACGAAUCGAAUUGGAGCUACAGCUGCUGGCCUACACCACACCCACAGCAAUGCCAGAUCCAAGCCACAUCUGUGACCUACACCACAGCUAAUGGCAACGCCAGAUCCUUAACCCCCUGAGCAAGGCCAGGGAUCAAACCCGAAACCUCAUGGUUCCUAGUUGGAUUUGUUUCCACUGAGCCACCAACGGGAACUCCUGGACAGUUUAAAAUGAGUUCUUGUAACCUGUGAUUCUGUGAUGACUCGUAUGCAUAAUAAUAGCAGUAGUUAUCAAUUUUUUAAUACCAUAUGCUGGGUCCUUUGUAAUUCAUAUCCCACAAGAUUUGUCACAUUUCUAAGAACUCUGAUUUCCAUUCCAAGUGAAGAACUGGAAGUUAGGAGAGAUUAAGUGCUUGCUCAAGAUCACACAGCUCAUAACAGGCCUGAGUCUCUCAGACAUCCAAACUCGCAUCUGGUUGACUCCCAGACCCUGCCUGUGACAUCAAUCUGUACCACAUCCUGUUUUCCACACUGCCUCCCACUGAGUUCCCUAUUCCCUUGGACUUGCAAUGCAGAGUCUUGGCCCUCCAUAGUUCUUGCACAUUCUUCUUACUUUCAAUACUUCACAAUGUGCUCAGGGGAAUCAAAAUGAUCGGAAAUAUCUGGCAUUGAAAUGCAUGAUAAGGCAUGAUGACACAACUUCUCCAAAACUCAAUAAUACCUGUGUCAUUAUACUCAAAGGUGAUGUGGAAACCAAUAGCAUCCUGCUCUCACAGUAACUCAUCCUCAAUGUUUGGUGGAAAAGCAACAUUUGAUGUGCUGUGACACCUGUGUGCCUCCUUCUUAUUCUCUGAAAAGAAAUGACCCAUUCUUCUUCUCAAAAAAAAAAAA
rnacentral:lncRNA from 1 species